rnacentral:rRNA from 1 species
AUUGAACGCUGGCGGCAUGCCUUACACAUGCAAGUCGAACGGCAGCACGGGUGCUUGCACCUGGUGGCGAGUGGCGAACGGGUGAGUAAUACAUCGGAACAUGUCCUGUAGUGGGGGAUAGCCCGGCGAAAGCCGGAUUAAUACCGCAUACGAUCUACGGAUGACAGCGGGGGACCUUCGGGCCUCGCGCUUUAGGGUUGGCCUAUGGCUGAUUCGCUUGUUGGUGGGGUAAAGGCCUACCAAGGCGACGAUCAGUAGCUGGUCUGAGAGGACGACCAGACACACUGGGACUGAGACACGGCACAGACUCCUACGGGAGGCAGCAGUGGGGAAUUUUGGACAAUGGGCGAAAGCCUGAUCCAGCAAUGCCGCGUGUGUGAAGAAGGCCUUCGGGUUGUAAAGCACUUUUGUCCGGAAAGAAAUCCUUGGCCCUAAUACGGUCGGGGGAUGACGGUACCGGAAGAAUAAGCACCGGCUAACUACGUG